GACGAACGCUGGCGGCGUGCCUAAUACAUGCAAGUCGAACGCUUUUUCUUUCACCGGAGCUUGCUCCACCGAAAGAAAAAGAGUGGCGAACGGGUGAGUAACACGUGGGUAACCUGCCCAUCAGAAGGGGAUAACACUUGGAAACAGGUGCUAAUACCGUAUAACACUAUUUUCCGCAUGGAAGAAAGUUGAAAGGCGCUUUUGCGUCACUGAUGGAUGGACCCGCGGUGCAUUAACUAGUUGGUGAGGUAACGGCUCACCAAGGCAACGAUGCAUAGCCGGCCUGGGAGGGUGAUCGGCCACACUGGGACUGAGACACGGCCCAGACUCCUACGGGAGGCAGCAGUAAGGAAUCUUCGGCAAUGGACGAAAGUCUGACCGAGCAACGCCGCGUGAGUGAAGAAGGUUUUCGGAUCGUAAAACUCUGUUGUUAGAGAAGAACAAGGAUGAGAGUAAAAUGUUCAUCCCUUGACGGUAUCUAACCAGAAAGCCACGGCUAACUACGUGCCAGCAGCCGCAGUAA
rnacentral:rRNA from 1 species